AUAGAGAGAAAAUAUCAUGACGUGAUCACAUCCUCCAGUUCUGAUGACUUUUCCAUCUACUCCUUCACUGACUGUGAAUCUGAGUGUGAUGAUGAGGAUCAUGAAAGGAGGAGACCAAAGCUGAAAGUUGAGAAUGGAAAGGUGACAAAGCUUGAUGUGAGGGAUAUGGACGAGGAUGAUGAUCUGUCUCUCCACUCCUUCGAUGAGUCAGACUUCCUGAGCCCAGGGGAGGUCUCAGGUCCUGUAUCUGUCAAGAAUGGCCUCUCUCCUCUUGUAACCUCAGCACACCGGACACUUGCUGAAGCCCUACAGGCCCUGCCCUCUGCUGUAGGCUCUCCCUACCCAGUAAAUGUUCCAAGGCCUCGGACUCCUCUCAACCCUGUCAUUAUCGCUCCGCCCCAAACAGAGAACUUCCCAUACCGCCACAGCCCUCGCCUGGCUCCCAUCACCAAUGUGAGCGAGUC